rnacentral:piRNA from 1 species
UGCUCCCUCAUUAGCAUAUUACCGGCCAAC